rnacentral:rRNA from 1 species
AGUGAACGCUGGCGGUAGGCCUAACACAUGCAAGUCGAACGGCAGCACAGUAAGAGCUUGCUCUUACGGGUGGCGAGUGGCGGACGGGUGAGGAAUACAUCGGAAUCUACUUUUUCGUGGGGGAUAACGUAGGGAAACUUACGCUAAUACCGCAUACGACCUACGGGUGAAAGCAGGGGAUCUUCGGACCUUGCGCGAUUGAAGGAGCCGAUGUCGGAUUAGCUAGUUGGCGGGGUAAAGGCCCACCAAGGCGACGAUCCGUAGCUGGUCUGAGAGGAUGAUCAGCCACACUGGAACUGGGACACGGUCCAGACUCCUACGGGAGGCAGCAGUGGGGAAUAUUGGACAAUGGGCGCAAGCCUGAUCCAGCCAUACCGCGUGGGCGAAGAAGGCCUUCGGGUUGUAAAGCCCUUUUGUUGGGAAAGAAAAGCAGCAGGUUAAUACCCCGCUGUUCUGACGGUACCCAAAGAAUAAGCACCGGCUAACUUCGUG